CCGCUACCGAACUUUCCCGGAUCUGACCCCGUGAGGCAGAUCCAGCGGGCUCUCCAGAAGCCUGCUCCUUUCCAGUGUCCACCAAUCCUCGUUGCCUCAGUCCAUGGGGAGGCCUCUGCCUGGACACAGACCCAGCCCAGUCUCUGGGUAGUCCUAUCUAGUACUUAACACCCCUCGAUGGGUCUUCCCAAGAUAGACGACAGUGUGGACAAGGUCUGCACGCUCCUCUGGGCUGAUGUGGCUGACAACUGGGUGCACUUUAACUUCAUGCACUACCACAGGGGCUAUCGUGUACCCCCUUCUAUAGUGGGGUUCCAAGGUGCCUUGUGGCAGUCCAGGCUGAGGGGGAAAAAGAGCAAAGCAGCAUUUCUUCUCCUGGUCCACACGGGCAUCUCUCCAGAGACUCACACGUCCUCAGUGGCUCUGAGCAGAGGUCAUACCCAGUGUCCCUGAGUGUGCCCCACAGGGUAGACAAGCUUGAACUACCAGCAGUGAGAGCAGGCAUUCGCAACGGAAGCUGCGGGGUUUCACAGUGUUGGAUAAGAAUGGACCUGGUCCUCCUUGGCCGGAGGGAGUGUGUCUCGUGUCCACGGCAGCAAGCUUCCAUCCCUCCCAGCCUGCUUGUGACAUUGCCGCCCUGUUGGUUUCCACUUUACAACCUCACUGUCUGCUUUGUUUACUUUUUCCUGCUCCCAGGAGCUUGUUUCUGUUCUGUCCCUGGCCAUUACUUUUCACACUGGCCUCAUGAACUGGCCUUGGCCUUUUCAGGUGCUUUACUUGGUGUGAACCUUCUAGUGGCUGUGUUCUGGUCUCCCCUGAUAGAGCUUCAAACUCUGCCUCAGUCCCACGGAGCUCCAAAUAAUAAAAUCAAAUUAUAAUCAA